UGCCAGACUCCUACGGGAGGCAGCAGUGGGGAAUAUUGCACAAUGGGGGAAACCCUGAUGCAGCGACGCCGCGUGAGUGAAGAAGUAUUUCGGUAUGUAAGGCUCUAUCAGCAGGGAAGAAGUUGACGGUACCUGAGUAAGAAGCCCCGGCUAACUACGUGCCAGCAGCCGCGGUAAUACGUAGGGGGCAAGCGUUAUCCGGAUUUACUGGGUGUAAAGGGAGCGUAGACGGCAGUGCAAGUCUGAAGUGAAAGCCCCGGGCUUAACCCGGGAACUGCUUUGGAAACUGUACGGCUGGAGUGCUGGAGAGGUAGGCGGAAUUCCUAGUGUAGCGGUGAAAUGCGUAGAUAUUAGGAGGAACACCAGUGGCGAAGGCGGCUUACUGGACAGUAACUGACGUUGAGGCUCGAAAGCGUGGGGAGCAAACAGGAUUAGAUACCCUGGUAC
rnacentral:rRNA from 1 species